rnacentral:pre_miRNA from 1 species
AUGUAAUGUAGCAUGCCCGUUUGUGGAAUUACUCUGAUGUUGAAUUAAUUAUUAUUAUUUAAUUGCUUUUGGGUAAUGGGGUGUUACAAUUGG